rfam:Candidate division Zixibacteria bacterium SM1_73 WOR1_30_36_6285, whole genome shotgun sequence.
UUAAGCGAUGCUAAGAUUUUGGAUUAUCAAUCAGGUUUGGAGUCGGCAGCUGGUGCCAUUCUUGCCGCCCUGUCCGGGAUAAACGUUAUCUCCGGUCCCG